GCUGGGUAGCUAUGUACGGAAGGGAUAAGCGCUGAAAGCAUCUAAGCGUGAAGCCCCCCUCAAGAUGAGAUUUCCCAGUAAGUAAGACCCCUUGAAGACGACGAGGUAGAUAGGUUGGGGGUGGAAGUGCAGUAAUGCAUGGAGCUGACCAAUACUAAUCGGUCGAGGGCUUAUCCUAAAGAUAAGACGCAAGGA
rnacentral:rRNA from 1 species